AUCUCUUAUUUGUUGAGCAACUUCCUGGCACAGAGGCAAAGGAAGCUGCAGUCCUCUCCCUGGGGAAUUCAUCAUCUCCUGGAGAGCAGGAUGUAGCCAAAGAAAAGAAUCUGGAAUGGAGAAAACUGUCAGAGGAGAGGCUCCAACACCAGUGCUGCAAGAGAUGUUGGGUUCACAAGGUCGAGGGAGCUCCACGUUGAAGGGUUGUCGUGAGCACUACUGAGAUGAGGACCCGAACUGCUUACCGCAGAGCCUGCCCUUUGGACGCUGGACUCUCAGGAGUGGAUCUCCGUGCUGACGUUAGUAAGAAGACAGCAUCCAGCAUCCUGACCCUUCUGUCCCUCUGAACUGCAGCUGACUUCUACAAAUCCAGUCUCCAAAUGAGUCCUGUCCUAAUUUAUGCAAAGACAUCCACGUGGGUCUAUAGCCCGAGCUGUCCCGUCUUGGGAUCAGGCAAUGGGAGUGGAGAAAAUAGGUGGGAACUUCCUGAUGUCCCCCCAUCCCCCAGGACUCAGGUUUGUUGACUCAGAGUGGAGGAUGAACCAGGCAGCAGGGAAUGUCCAGGAGAAAGGGCCUGGCCUGCGCUCCCAAAUCCUGGCACUGCGCAUCUGGAGUGAUCAGCACAUCUGGCUGCAUCCCUGGGGCAAUGGCCACAGCUGCUGACAUUUGGGGGAGGAGAGAUGUAGCUCCUCAGCCAGGGCCUGGGGAGCUAUAAAUAACUAGCUAAGAGGACCAGGGGGAUGAGUUUGACCUUUGGGGGGGGGGCGAGAGCGCCUGGCGACUUUCCCCCACCCCCUUGGGUCCGGAGCCAAAGUUUUAGCAAAACAGGAAGAGGCAGCAGCAGCUGCUGGGAAAGUAGGAGUGGCUCCCCUUCCCCCACUUGCCCGGGGCCUUCGGAUCCCAGCCAGGACCUGGGAGAGGUGGAGUCUUCUAGGCUGGGGUGAGGGGAGGGGCAGACCCACGCAGACUGUGGCCCCAGCUCCUGGAGGCCUCUGAUGAUGGGCUCAGCUGGGGCCCAGGCGAGGGAGGGUGAGGCAGAGGAGGGCAGCCUAGUGGGCUGUGCCUGUCACCCCAGCCCCCUCCUGUUUCCUUUCUGUUCCCCCAUCAGUGGGACCACAGGAAGGACCAGACACUAGAAAUGGAGCAUAAAUAUGUCUGCAAUCCAGCCAGUGCAUCUAGGGGCCCACCUGUCUCUUCCAUCCCCUCCCAGCCCACAGGUGGGCUGAGCCUAAGCCCAAGUAGGUAGGAGAGAGGACUCUGGACAGGAGGAAGGGUGCUUCGGGGCUUCUGGAGUGGAACCCAAGGCCUGGCCCCAGUGGAAUGAUGGAGAACUUCCCUGCGAACUAUUGAGGUGGGGAGAUCCAAAGCCUGGAGUAACUGGUCCCCAGGAACAAGCUCUGUAGAGCCAGGAGCCGGCGCAGAGGGCCUCAGGAAGUCCACCACGAAAGGAGUUGUCCAGGAGCUAUCGCUUUGCUUUGCUUUGCCUGGGGGAGACUGGCCACUCUGGUGACAUCUGGUUGAAACUUCGGCUGGCCCACAUCUCCAGUGGGUCUGUAGCUUUAUCUUUCAUGACCUGUCACUGGAGCCACUCAGCCUGGAGUCCUGCAUUUUGUGUGCAGGGAGGGGCUAGACCAGCACCACCCAAUAGAAACAGAAUAGGGGCCAUGGAGGUAACUUUACAUUUUCUUUAAAAAAAAAAAAAA
rnacentral:lncRNA from 1 species